ensembl:lncRNA
AGAAUGUUAAGUUUUCCUGAAUAAACUGCUAGAAGAAGAGCGUUGGUGUUGCGUCGUCAUUGCUGGUCAAAGGCGAACGCGACAUAUAAUGAUAUUGAAACCUAAAAUAAGAGAUGAAAAAUAAUAAAAGAAGAGAUUAUCAGCAUAGGAAGAGGUCAGGCAAGCAGCCAGCACCAGUUCAUGUCAAAGCCAACAUUCAUAAAGGCAUAAAAGAUGGGGAGAAGAAGAGCAGCUGCAUACUGACAGCUUGGACCAAUAAAGGGAAGAGAGGGGAAGUGUCUGGAUUAAUUAGAACAGGGAGACAGGACAUAUUCAGGAAAAGACAAGCCUUCACAGACAAUAGCAUUUGACACAG